rnacentral:rRNA from 1 species
CGCAACCCUUAUCCUUUGUUGCCAGCGGUCCGGCCGGGAACUCAAAGGAGACUGCCAGUGAUAAACUGGAGGAAGGUGGGGAUGACGUCAAGUCAUCAUGGCCCUUACGACCAGGGCUACACACGUGCUACAAUGGCAUAUACAAAGAGAAGCGACCUCGCGAGAGCAAGCGGACCUCAUAAAGUAUGUCGUAGUCCGGAUUGGAGUCUGCAACUCGACUCCAUGAAGUCGGAAUCGCUAGUAAUCGUAGAUCAGAAUGCUACGGUGAAUACGUUCCCGGGCCUUGUACACACCGCCCGUCACACCAUGGGAGUGGGUUGCAAAAGAAGUAGGUAGCUUAACCUUCGGGAGGGCGCUUACCACUUUGUGAUUCAUGACUGGGGUGAAGUCGUAACAAGGUAACCGUAGGGGAACCUGCGGUUGGAUCACCUCCUUACCUUAAAGAA